AUUGAACGCUGGCGGCAGGCCUAACACAUGCAAGUCGAACGGAUGAACAGUAAGUGCUUGUUCUUUCGGCUGCGGACUGGUGGGUGGUUCCGGGGAAUCUGGGUGGCUGCUUUUUAUAAGGUGCUGACACGGGGGCUAAUACGCCAUACGUCCUUAGGGCGUACGGGUGAGAUCUUCGGACCUUAGGCUAUCACGUGAUUGUAUGUCGGAUUAGCUAGUUGGCGGGGUAAAGGCCUACCAAGGCGACGAUCCGUAACUGGUCUGAGAGGAUGAUCAGCCACACUGGAACUGAGACACGGUCCAGACUCCUACGGGAGGCAGCAGUGGGGAAUAUUGGACAAUGGGCGCAAGCCUGAUCCAGCCAUACCGCGUGGGUGAAGAAGGCCUUCGGGUUGUAAAGCACUUUUGUUUGGAAAGAAAAGCAGUAGGUUAAUACCUCGCUGUUCUGACGGUACCAAAAGAAUAAGCACCGGCUAACUUCGUG
rnacentral:rRNA from 1 species